UGUUAAAUUUUCCAUCCAUUUUUAUUGUUAAAAACUGAUAUAGAUGAUAGAAUAAUCAGAUAGUUACACAAGGUACAACCCCAUUUUGAUGUGCAUGGACCAAUUUUUAACAGUAGAAAUGGAUGAAAUUUUUAACA
rfam:Gossypium raimondii Chr10_contig_81, whole genome shotgun sequence.